CAGAAUUCGCCUUUAGAGUUUGAUCCUGGCUCAGGAUGAACGCUGGCGGUAUGCUUUACACAUGCAAGUCGUACGAGAGUUUUUAACUCAAGUGGCGGACGGGUGAGUAACACGUAAGAAUUUGCCUUUAGGAGGGGGAUAACAACUGGAAACGGUUGCUAAUACCCCAUAUGCUUUCGAGUAAAAUGGAUUUUCCGCCUAAAGAGAAGCUUGCGGCUGAUUAGCUUGUUGGUGAGGUAAUGGCUCACCAAGGCGACGAUCAGUAUCUGGUUUGAGAGGACGAUCAGACACACUGGAACUGAGACACGGUCCAGACUCCUACGGGAGGCAGCAGUGGGGAAUUUUCCGCAAUGGGCGAAAGCCUGACGGAGCAAUACCGCGUGAGGGAUGACGGCCUAUGGGUUGUAAACCUCUUUUUUCAGGGAGGAAUCAAUGACGUGUACCUGAAGAAUAAGCAUCGGCUAACUCCGUGCCAGCAGCCGCGGUAAGACGGAGGAUGCAAGUGUUAUCCGGAAUCACUGGGCGUAAAGCGUCUGUAGGUGGUCAAAUAAGUCAACUGUUAAAUCUUGAGGCUCAACCUCAAAAUCGCAGUCGAAACUAUUCGACUAGAGUAUAGUAGGGGUAAAGGGAAUUUCCAGUGGAGCGGUGAAAUGCGUAGAGAUUGGAAAGAACACCGAUGGCGAAGGCACUUUACUGGGCUAUUACUAACACUGAGAGACGAAAGCUAGGGUAGCAAAUGGGAUUAGAUACCCCAGUAGUCCUAGCCGUAAACAAUGGAUACUAGAUGUUGAACAGAUCGACCUGUGCAGUAUCAAAGCUAACGCGUUAAGUAUCCCGCCUGGGAAGUAUGCUCGCAAGAGUGAAACUCAAAUGAAUUGACGGGGAAGGGC
rnacentral:rRNA from 1 species